UCACUCUUCUGUGACGGGUUGCCC
rnacentral:siRNA from 1 species